AUUGAACGCUGGCGGCAGGCUUAACACAUGCAAGUCGAGCGAGCGGCGGACGGGUGAGUAAUGUCUGGGAAACUGCGUGAUGGAGGGGGAUCACUACUGGAAACGGGAGCUAAUCCCGCAUAACAUCAGAUGGGCCCAGAUGGGAUUAGAUAGUAGGUGGGGUAAGGGCUCCCCUAGGCGACGAUCCCUAGCUGGUCUGAGAGGAUGACCAGCCACACUGGAACUGAGACACGGUCCAGACUCCUACGGGAGGCAGCAGUGGUGAAUAUUGCACAAUGGGCGCAAGCCUGAUGCAGCCAUGCCGCGUGUGUGAAGAAGGCCUUCGGGUUGUAAAGCACUUUCAGCGAGGAGGCGUUACUCGCAGAAGAAGCACCGGCUAACUCCGUGCCAGCAGCCGCGGUAAUUC
rnacentral:rRNA from 1 species